UUAAACUUUUGAGAGGUAUAUGACAA
rnacentral:piRNA from 1 species